rnacentral:rRNA from 1 species
UUCGAUAACCCUUUGAUUUAUCAAGACCUUCUUCUGCCUCGGGGGUGACCCGGCCCUCGGGCUGGUGUCCCCCCGGUGGUACACCAUUCAAACUCUGCAUCAAUUGUCGUCUGAGUAUGAAGUAAAUUCAAUCAAAACUUUCAACAACGGAUCUCUUGGUUCUGGCAUCGAUGAAGAACGCAGCGAAAUGCGAUAAGUAAUGUGAAUUGCAGAAUUCAGUGAAUCAUCGAAUCUUUGAACGCACAUUGCGCCCUUUGGCAUUCCGAAGGGCAUGCCUGUUCGAGCGUCAUUACACCAAUCAAGCCUCGCUUGGUAUUGGGCGACGGGGUCGACUUUCGACGCCCGCGCCUCAAUGACUUUCCGGCGGGACGGACCGUAUCCCAGCGUUGUGGUAAAAAGCCGCUGGCGAGACGGGACGGCCGUGCCGUUAAACCCCCAUUUUCUUUAAGGUUGACCUCGGAUCAGGUAGGGAUACCCGCUGAACUUAAGCAUAUCAAUAAGCGGAGGA